GACGAACGCUGGCGGCGUGCUUAACACAUGCAAGUCGAACGGAAAGGCCCUGCUUUUGUGGGGUGCUCGAGUGGCGAACGGGUGAGUAACACGUGAGUAACCUGCCCUUGACUUUGGGAUAACUUCAGGAAACUGGGGCUAAUACCGGAUAGGAGCUCCUGCUGCAUGGUGGGGGUUGGAAAGUUUCGGCGGUUGGGGAUGGACUCGCGGCUUAUCAGCUUGUUGGUGGGGUAGUGGUUUACCAAGGCUUUGACGGGUAGCCGGCCUGAGAGGGUGACCGGCCACAUUGGGACUGAGAUACGGCCCAGACUCCUACGGGAGGCAGCAGUGGGGAAUAGUGCACAAUGGGCGGAAGCCUGAUGCAGCAACGCCGCGUGCGGGAUGACGGCCGUCGGGUUGUAAACCGCUUUCGCCUGUGACGAAGCGUGAGUGACGGUAAUGGGUAAAGAAGCACCGGCUAACUACGUG
rnacentral:rRNA from 1 species